CUUUCCAAGAUCGAAACUUGAAAAUAGAAAUGGCAAAUGUUCCUACUCAGGAGAGUACAUCCGAAUCGUAUGAGCCAACUAUCAUCUAUAAUAGCUUAUCAAUAUAUCUCCUACCGAUCGUGAUCAACGACAAACCUGAGCUGGGCCGACCACAAUUAGAGCCAGCCACUACCAAGAGGUACUCGGCUACGGGAGUUGAAGUCGUGCUGAAGGGCCAUUUCACCGCCCGAAUACGUUACGCUGGAAGGCUUUUCCUGUUGCCUCUGACAGUGUCGAAUCGAACGGACACCCGUAAUUUAAUGGGCAGGAGAUGGUUCCCUACUCUACACUUGGAUUGGAACCGAAUCUUUCAUUGCAUCCCGACUGCUCAUUUCAUGAAGAAUCAAACCGAGAAAGAACGUCAGUUAGCCGUGGAAACAAGUAAAAGAACCUGCCCUUUUUACGUUCACGUCAAAGUCGAAGGCGUCAAUCUGCGAAUGUUGCUGGACACGGGGGCCACGCAGUCGAAAAUCACUGUUUCUCAGUGGCAAAUGAUAGGCAAACCCCGACUCCAACCAACCAGUAUCAUCAUUCACGAUACCGCUAACAACGUUAUGCCGCUCGUUGGUCGAUGCAUAAUCCAUGUCGAAUAUAAUGGCCAACGUGGACUUCUUCCGCUUUUGGUUUCGGGCGGAGCUAACGGACAUGCAGUUAUAGGAACUGAUUGGUAUAAGAAAAUUCGAUUUGACUUUAAUAACAUUUUCGAAACCAUGACCUUCCAACAGGCACCUAAAUCAUCCGGUCAAACAAUUGAACUAAAAAAGUGUCCGAUGCUGUCGCCGUCCUCCGCUCAACAUCCACCGGAGGCCGGUCAAAGUCCCAACACUGACGCUGAGUUUAAAGGAAAAGGAGAACUACAGAAGGGCAAACGGGUCAUGAUAUGGAAUCCCCUUUUUUUCUGUCCUCGAUUACAUAUUCAUUGGACCCGGAUUUUCAGUGCUUUUUUUUAUCGUACGAAGCGAAGAACACUUGGUGCAUUGUGAAACAGUCAAACAACUGGCAGCUGUUUGGUUUCACCAUAUCUUGAAAAGAUCGAGAAACUAAGAACAAAGUCCUUGAUAAUAGACACGUCAGCACCUACUGGCAGCCAUGGCAUUCACUUCCAUUUACAGCUCUUUGAAUAGUUGAAAAAACAAAACAUUAAAGGGCUUGGGAUUCGUGCUGUUUUGAUUGUAGACUAUAGUAACACGUUGCACGCCACGCGAAAAAGAUCAACGUGAACGCUACAAUAAAAGCCUCUUAUCAAAUGGACGGGCCACCUUUAUUGAAAGACGUAUUUUAUGGUAACCCACGUUUACGUUGAUUAUUCUAAACAUUAAUGACCGCUUCUCGUGACUAGAGCCUAUAAUGCUGUUUAAGCCAUGUACCAGGGCUUACUGCUGGAACGUGCAAAGGUUCAAAGAUGCUUCGUCAUGGUCUGCACGACGUGCAGUUUUCGAAUUUCGGAGUUUUACGCUCCGGUAGUCCAUUAAUUGGUUAUCACUAGGCACGCGAACCAAAUGCACGUGAUGAAAUGGAAUUUGAGUUUCCCUUUCCGGUUCGAUGCCAAAUGAGAAAAUUGGGAGACGUUAAAAGAAGCUCAUCACAUCCCGCCAUCGAACGACACGGAAUUUCUGUUGUAAAGUUGGGCAAGAAGGAGCUUGACCACGUGAUCAGCGAGCCAGUUGAAAUGGACUUUGCCUGGAAGCUAUGGUUAUCUAGCCCUGCACGGCUUGGCUUCAGAUGCACACGGCACUACUCUCGGCGGGAGCGCGGGAGAUUCAACCGACCGAACUUUUACUUUUCCUUUUCUCACAGGUAAAUACGUAACGGACCACGUACACACAAAAAAAAAAUGGAUUC